rnacentral:rRNA from 1 species
CUGGUUGAUUCUGCCAGUAGUCAUAUGCUUGUCUUAAAGACUAAGCCAUGCAUGUCUAAGUAUAAACACUUGUACUGUGAAACUGCGAAUGGCUCAUUAAAUCAGUUAUAAUUUAUUUGAUGGUAAAAUUUACUUGGAUAACCGUGGUAAAUCUAGAGCUAAUACAUGCGUAAAAUCCCGACUGGGAACGGAAGGGAUGUAUUUAUUAGAUACAAAAACCAAUGCAAUCCUCGCAAGAGGGUUGGAAACAAUGGUGAUUCAUGAUAACUUAACGAAUCGUAUGGCCUUGUGCUGACGAUAGUUCAUUCAAAUUUCCGCCCUAUCAACCUUCGAUGGUAGGAUAGAGGCCUACCAUGGUGUUAACGGGUAACGGAGAAUCAGGGUUUGAUUCCGGAGAAGGAGCCUGAGAAACGGCUACUACUUCCAAGGAAGGCAGCAGGCGCGCAAAUUACCCAAUCCCGACACGGGGAGGUAGUGACAAUAAAUAACAAUACUGGAUUUAAAUAAGUCUAGUAAUUGGAAUGAGUACAAUCUAAACCCCUUAACGAGUAUCAAUUGGAGGGCAAGUCUGGUGCCAGCAGCCGCGGUAAUUCCAGCUCCAAUAGCAUAUAUUAAAGUUGUUGCAGUUAAAAAGCUCGUAGUUGGAUUUCAAAGUUUAUUAUUAAGGUCUGCUUGAAAAAGUAUGUACUUUAGUAAUAACUUUCCUUACUAGAUAUUCACUAUUAUUCUUCAUUGAGUAGUAGUUUUUAAUCUCUUCGGGGGUUAGAUUAUUUAGUGGGUCUGAGGGUUUGGAUGUGGAGUUUUUACGGGGUUUACUCUGUAAAGAUUUCUGCCAAAUCAACUUCCAUUAAAUAGAAUUCUAGUUCAUUUACUUUGAGUAAAUUAGAGUGUUCAAAGCAAACGUAACAAAAUUGUAAUGAAUACUAUUAGCAUGGGAUAAUGGAACAGGACGUUGGUUCUAUUUUAUUGGUUUUUAGAACUAAUGUAAUGAUUAAAAGGGACAGUUGGGGGCAUUAGUAUUUAAUUGUCAGAGGUGAAAUUCUUGGAUUUAUGAAAGACUAACUUCUGCGAAAGCUUUUGUCAAAGAUGUUUUCAUUAAUCAAGAACGAAAGUUAGGGGAUCGAAGACGAUCAGAUACCGUCGUAGUCUUAACCAUAAACUAUGCCGACCAGGGAUUGGAAGAUGUUUAAAUUUUUUAAAGACUCCUUCAGCACCUUAAGAGAAAUCAUUAAGUUUUUGGGUUCUGGGGGGAGUAUGGUCGCAAGGCUGAAACUUAAAGGAAUUGACGGAAGGGCACCACCAGGAGUGGAGCCUGCGGCUUAAUUUGACUCAACACGGGAAAACUUACCAGGUCCAGACACAGUUAGGAUUGACAGAUUGAGAGCUCUUUCUUGAUUCUGUGGGUGGUGGUGCAUGGCCGUUCUUAGUUGGUGGAGUGAUUUGUCUGGUUAAUUCCGAUAACGAACGAGACCUCAGCCUGCUAAUUAGUUAUAUAAAUUAUUACGCUAUAAGGGUUUAUUAAAAAGGUUGAUCCUUUGUGGUUAACAUUUUUAUUAAAAACUUGUAUUAAUUUAUAAAAACUUCUUAGAGGGACACUUGGUGUUUAACCAAGGGAAGUUUGAGGCAAUAACAGGUCUGUGAUGCCCUUUAGAUGUUCUGGGCUGCACGCGCGCUACACUGAUACAAUCAACAAGUACAAAAGACCUUAGCUGAAAAGUUUGGGUAAACUUUUGAAAUUGUAUCGUGAUGGGGAUCGAUAAUUGUAAUUAUUUAUCGUCAACGAGGAAUUCCUAGUAAGCGCAAGUCAUCAGCUUG